CACAGAGUUCAAAGGCUGGUGCUUGUCCUUCAGGGAGAGCAGCAGAGACUUGUUCAGUCUGACAGUUGUUCUUGAGAUUUGGAAUUAGAUUAUUCACUCUGUCCCAGUGUAAAUGGGGGAAGUUAUUAGUGCUUUUACAUUCAGCAGGGGAUAAGGUGUGACCUCAUUUUCCACUUCAAAUGAAGGGGGAAGGGGAGAAAAACAAGUGGAAAGAAGUUCAGCCCAGUGGUGUAGUCGAUAAUACAUUAAAACUGAAGCACUCCUUCUGCCUGCAUUUGCAAUGAGAUUUCAGAAGCUGUCAAGCCUCUGUCUUCUUGCUGGUUUUCAUCCUCAGGUGAAAUAACAAAAAGGGAACAAAAAGUUCCUCUGGCGAGACCUUGACUGAGGGUUUUGAAUGCAGCCCUAAGCAAAGGCUGGUGUUGAAAUUUCUUUACUCCAAAGAGCUCUGGGUGCUCUGGAGCGUCUGUAGGGACCUCAGUGGGUGCUUUCAUAAAGCUCCAUGGUUGGAACCAUUUUUAUUAGAGCAGGGACCAUUAAUGUAAUAACAGAGAUGGGAAUGGGAAUAGUUUGGUGCACCAGGCUUGGAAAAAAGUGCUAUUGUAAUCCUUUACAAAUAGGAGACAGAAGUGCAUUUUGAGAAGAUUACCAUGAGCACUCAUGAACUGAUAAAAUAUCAACCUUGAAAAUAUCAGAUUCCAAAGGAACAAAAGGCCCCUUUUCUGUUUUUUGGACACUGAAUUAUUUAAUUUCGGCAAGUGCUGUUUUUCUGUUGUUUUUCAAGUGUUAACAGGCUCUCUUCAGUACAUCAUAAAGAAAAUGAUGCUGCAGCUGCAGGCCAAGGCCCCACAAGAAAUCAAAUAGCACCUAAAGAGAAGUGCCUCUAAAGACUUGACUCCAAAGCACAGAAGCCAUUGAGUCACUCAACACCAGCUGAUGAAGGAGCCUCUCUAUCCUCUGGAUACUUGCUUUUGUAUUUUUUUUUCCUCCCCCAAAGUUGAAAAUGGGAUAUAAAAAAUAGAUUGCUGGAAACUGGGAGUCUAGGCAGAAGUAAUACAGAAGGUGCUACACUGAAUGAAGGGAAAGGUUUCUGCCUCAAAGGGCAUGUAAAGUUCUUGCUGCUGGCAACUUUCAUUCUCCCAGCCACUAAAAAUGUAUUUUCCAAAGUGCUCCAAGAUGUGUGGAUGUGGAGGAAUUCUCAGCUCAUCCACUCUAUGUC